rnacentral:rRNA from 1 species
GGUUUCUUAAGUCUGAUGUGAAAGCCCACGGCUCCUUUGAGGGGGGGUCGUUGGAAACUGGGGAACUUGAGUGCAGACCAUAAGGGGGAAUUCCACGUGUAGCGGUGAAAUGCGUAGAGAUGUGGAGGAACACCAGUGGCGAAGGCUGCUUUUUGGUCUGGAACUGACGCUGAGGCGCGAAAGCGGGGGGAGCAAACAGGAUUAAAUACCCUGGUACUCCACGCCGUAAACGAUGAGUGCUAAGUGUUAGAGGGUUUCCGCCCUUUAAUGGUGCAACUAACGCAUUAAGCACUCCGCCGGGGGAGUACGGUCGCAAGACUGAAACUCAAAGGAAUUGACGGGGGCCCGCACAAGCGGGGGAGCAUGUGUUUUAAU